rnacentral:rRNA from 1 species
GUCGAGGGGCAGCAUGGUCUUAGCUUGCUAAGGCCGAUGGCGACCGGCGCACGGGUGAGUAACGCGUAUCCAACCUGCCUUACACUCUUGGACAGCCUUCUGAAAGGGAGAUUAAUACAAGAUGUUAUCAUGAGUAAGCAUUUUCGCAUGAUUAAAGGUUUACCGGUGUAAGAUGGGGAUGCGUUCCAUUAGAUAGUAGGCGGGGUAACGGCCCACCUAGUCUUCGAUGGAUAGGGGUUCUGAGAGGAAGGUCCCCCACAUUGGAACUGAGACACGGUCCAAACUCCUACGGGAGGCAGCAGUGAGGAAUAUUGGUCAAUGGACGAGAGUCUGAACCAGCCAAGUAGCGUGAAGGAUGAAGGUUCUAUGGAUUGUAAACUUCUUUUAUACGGGAAUAAACGAAUCCACGUGUGGAUUUUUGCAUGUACCGUAUGAAUAAGGAUCGGCUAACUCCGUGCCAGCAGCCGCGGUAAUACGGAGGAUCCGAGCGUUAUCCGGAUUUAUUGGGUUUAAAGGGAGCGUAGAUGGGUUGUUAAGUCAGUUGUGAAAGUUUGCGGCUCAACCGUAAAAUUGCAAUUGAUACUGGCAGUCUUGAGUACAGUUGAGGUAGGCGGAAUUCGUGGUGUAGCGGUGAAAUGCUUAGAUAUCACGAAGAACUCCGAUUGCGAAGGCAGCUUACUAACCUGUAACUGACAUUGAUGCUCGAAAGUGUGGGUAUCAAACAGGAUUAGAUACCCUGGUAGUCCACACGGUAAACGAUGAAUACUCGCUGUAGGCGAUAUACAGUCUGCGGCCAAGCGAAAGCAUUAAGUAUUCCACCUGGGGAGUACGCCGGCAACGGUGAAACUCAAAGGAAUUGACGGGGGCCCGCACAAGCGGAGGAACAUGUGGUUUAAUUCGAUGAUACGCGAGGAACCUUACCCGGGCUUAAAUUGCAACCGAAUAUGGCGGAAACGCUAUAGCUAGCAAUAGCGGUUGUGAAGGUGCUGCAUGGUUGUCGUCAGCUCGUGCCGUGAGGUGUCGGCUUAAGUGCCAUAACGAGCGCAACCCUUGCCGAUAGUUACUAACAGGUCAUGCUGAGGACUCUGUCGGGACUGCCAUCGUAAGAUGUGAGGAAGGUGGGGAUGACGUCAAAUCAGCACGGCCCUUACGUCCGGGGCUACACACGUGUUACAAUGGGGGGUACAGAGGGCUGCUACCACGCAAGUGGAUGCCAAUCCCAAAAACCUCUCUCAGUUCGGAUUGAAGUCUGCAACCCGACUUCAUGAAGCUGGAUUCGCUAGUAAUCGCGCAUCAGCCACGGCGCGGUGAAUACGUUCCCGGGCCUUGUACACACCGCCCGUCAAGCCAUGGGAGCCGGGGGUACCUGAAGUGCGUAACCGCAA